rnacentral:rRNA from 1 species
GACGAACGCUGGCGGCGUGCUUAACACAUGCAAGUCGAACGGUGAACGAGGGAGCUUGCUCCCUCCGGAUCAGUGGCGAACAGGUGAGUAACACGUGAGCAAUCUGCCCCGAACUCUGGGAUAAGCGUUGGAAACGACGUCUAAUACCGGAUACGACGCGGGAGGGCAUCCUCUCCGCGUGGAAAGAACUUCGGUUCGGGAUGAGCUCGCGGCCUAUCAGCUUGUUGGUGAGGUAACGGCUCACCAAGGCGACGACGGGUAGCCGGCCUGAGAGGGUGACCGGCCACACUGGGACUGAGACACGGCCCAGACUCCUACGGGAGGCAGCAGUGGGGAAUAUUGCACAAUGGGCGCAAGCCUGAUGCAGCAACGCCGCGUGAGGGACGACGGCCUUCGGGUUGUAAACCUCUUUUAGCAGGGAAGAAGCGAAAGUGACGGUACCUGCAGAAAAAGCACCGGCUAACUACGUG